rnacentral:rRNA from 1 species
GAUGAACGCUGGCGGCGUGCCUAAUACAUGCAAGUCGAGCGAACAGACGAGGAGCUUGCUCCUCUGACGUUAGCGGCGGACGGGUGAGUAACACGUGGAUAACCUACCUAUAAGACUGGGAUAACUUCGGGAAACCGGAGCUAAUACCGGAUAAUAUAUUGAACCGCAUGGUUCAAUAGUGAAAGACGGUUUUGCUGCCACUUAUAGAUGGAUCCGCGCCGCAUUAGCUAGUUGGUAAGGUAACGGCUUACCAAGGCAACGAUGCGUAGCCGACCUGAGAGGGUGAUCGGCCACCCGGGAACUGAGACACGGUCCAGACUACUACGGGAGGCAGCAGUAGGGAAUCUUCCGCAAUGGGCGAAAGCCUGACGGAGCAACGCCGCGUGAGUGAUGAAGGUCUUCGGAUCGUAAAACUCUGUUAUUAGGGAAGAACAAAUGUGUAAGUAACUAUGCACGUCUUGACGGUGCCUAAUCAGAAAGCCACGGCUAACUACGUG